rnacentral:rRNA from 1 species
AUUGAACGCUGGCGGCAGGCCUAACACAUGCAAGUCGAACGAGUGGCGGACGGGUGAGUAAUGUCUGGGAAACUGCCUGAUGGAGGGGGCUAACUACUGGAAACGGUAGCUAAUACUGCAUACCAUCAGAUGUGCCCAGAUGGGAUUAGCUUGUUGGUGGGGUAACGGCUCACCAAGGCGACGCUCCCUAGCUGGUCUGAGAGGAUGACCAGCCACACUGGAACUGAGACACGGUCCAGACUCCUACGGGAGGCAGCAGGAGGGAAUAUUGCACAAUGGGCGCAAGCCUGAUGCAGCCAUGCCGCGUGUAUGAAGAAGGCCUUCGGGUUGUAAAGUACUUUCAGCGGGGAGGCGUUACCCACAGAAGAAGCACCGGCUAACUCCGUGCCAGCCGCCGCGGUAAUAC